rnacentral:misc_RNA from 1 species
UCCGUGUUGACCACGGCAGUCUCUUAUGAGUCCUCGCCAUAACGCGUUAGCAACAUAAGACAAGGGUUGCGCUCGUUGCGGGACUUAACCCAACAUCUCACGACACGAGCUGACGACAGCCAUGCACCACCUAUCGCAGGCCCCGAAGGACACCAUAUCUCUAUGGCUUUUCCUACGUAGUUCAAUCCAGGUAAGGUUCUUCGCGUUGCAUCGAAUUAAGCAACAUGCUCCGCUGCUUGUGCGGGUCCCCGUCAAUUCCUUUGAGUUUUAGCCUUGCGGCCGUACUCCCCAGGCGGGAUACUUAAUGCGUUAGCGACGGCGCGGAGAAAGUUGGUUAUUCCCCACACCUAGUAUCCACCGUUUACGGCGUGGACUAC